rnacentral:rRNA from 1 species
UACGAAGGGGGCUAGCGUUGCUCGGAAUCACUGGGCGUAAAGCGCACGUAGGCGGCUUUUUAAGUCAGGGGUGAAAUCCUGGAGCUCAACUCCAGAACUGCCUUUGAUACUGGGAAGCUUGAGUCCGGGAGAGGUGAGUGGAAUUCCGGGUGUAGUGGUGAAAUGCGUAGAUAUCCGGAGGAACACCAGUGGCGAAAGCGGCUCUCUGGGGGCAACCUGACGCUGAGGCGCGAAAGCGUGGGGAGCGAACCGG